AACCAUUCUCACCUGCGGCUAGACCUGCGGAAGGAUCAUUAAUAAAUAUACUGUGACCUGCAAAGGUCUAAUGUAUCCAACCCUUUGUGAAACUUCUAUUUUUGCUUCGGCAGCACUCCCAAUAGGUAAUACUAUUGGUGGGGUAAGGCUGUCAGAAGACCAAUAAAACUAGUUUGAUGAAAUGUCAUGCAGUCUGAUAAAUCAUUUUUUGAGAAAUCAAAUUAUGUUAAAACUUUCAAC
rnacentral:misc_RNA from 1 species